GCGUUGUGAAUAGACAAAACCAAGUGAAACGCUUACAAUUCCAUUUAUGAGGGUCAGGUCAUCUGAAACUUUGUUGCACAAAAGAGGACUUCAAGUGAAUUAGUUGAGCUGGGUGAUAAUUUAUGUGAGCCUGAUGAAAGAAUAGGGCGUUUUUGCUUUUACUUUUCAUUAUCUGCUUUUUUUCCUUUCAUGCAAGACUAUGCUAGACUAUUAAGCUUCAUGUCUCAUCGAGAAACCUCGGAGAAUAGGAAAGUGAAACUUUCAUUGUUUAAAAAAGUAGUGAGGCUCCAUCACUAAAAUAAUAAGAGAAAGAGUAUGAAAGUUGUUCUGAGCGAUAAAAAAAUACCACAAGUUCAAAACUCACGUUUAUUGAGAUCAGGCAACGCACCAAUACUGCCGCCUGCUGGUCAAAAUGGGAAAUGGCAAGCGUCGAUAAUCGUGACUUAAGUAGUCGUAAAGAAAUGUAAAUAAAUAAGAGUCUGCUAAAAGCAGAAGCACUAAUUUAAUUUAAAUUGUAAAAA